rnacentral:sRNA from 1 species
CACCAUACUUGUUCAAUUUAU